GGAUGGGAGGGCGAUCGGCUGCGGCAUCUGUCACCCCAUUGAUCGCCAGGGUUGAUUCCGCUGAUCUGGCUGGCUAGGCGGGAGUACUCUUCUUCCCUCACCGCUCCAUGUGCGUCCCUCUCGGACGUGCUUGGUCGAAGAGGAAGACCAUCCCCGAUAGAGGAGGAACAGUCUUCGGUCAAGGGUAUAUGAGUAGCUGCGCUCCCCUGCUAGAACCUCCAAACAAGAUGCAGGGCACCAGAAUCAAAUACAUUGACAAACGGGGUCUAU
rnacentral:snRNA from 1 species